AAAAAGAAACCAGAGUCGAUUAAAAAAAACGCAAAAGCAAGCAGAAAAAAAAAACGUAAAAGGUUGCAAGUUAAUCGUCGGCUCCUCACCUUCAUAAAGACAGAGAGAGAUUGAUUCCUUUUUCGAUAUCCGUUUGUAGAGAUUUUAUUCUAUCGAUUCGAUACCGGUUAUUCCACAACAAGCAAGAGCUAUAGAAAGAUUUUUUUUUGCUUUCUUUGAUUGUUAAUCGUCAUGACGUGAUUGUUGAUAUUUUCUUUUAUAUAUAUGAGACUCUGAUCUUCAAGCCACAAAAGCGAGGUUAAUUGGUUUCUUUUUCAGAUUUGGUCUUUUGUGGGUCUCGAUUGUGCCCUAGGUUCCGCUUCAAAGGAGGAGGUUAAGGCUUCAUGCAGAGAAAACUACUUGGACUCGGGAUCCAGAAAUCAGUAUAUAUUUUAGAAAAUUGUUUGAUUUUGCAUUUUUUUCUCCCACUGUUUUGCUCUGCCCGUGAUCGUGAGAUCCGAAGGAGAAAUUACUGGUCCAUUCCAUGUGUGGACUCUCACUUCCUUCUGAUUUGGUACAUCUGCGGAGCACGGCCUGUGCGAUCAAAAUAGGAAGAAUUGGCACUGAUCGAGAAAAUUAGUUUGAUUUUGAAGAGCUUCGUGUUUGAGUUCAUAUUUGAGUAUCUCACUGGCACAUGGUUUUUCCUUUCAGGUGGAUAACAAAAAUUCGCCAGUAGCCAAGCAUGCUAGAGUCGAUGUUAACUUCCAGAUUCAUCAAGAAUGAGGAGAGAGAGUAUGGGAUGGUGCAUGUUGUGUCAUGGAUGGAAACUUUAGCCAUUCGACUACUUGCAAUUCUUGCUAACUCAACUCUGUCAAAUUCAAGGGACGUAGCGUCUGAACAAGUACCAGUUCAAUAUGGUGGACUUAAGUUCAAUAUGUUGGACUUAACAUGAAAGGUGAGCUGGAAUUCCCAACAUCCAAACAUACCGUCAAAUUCACAUUUAAGGAAGAAAACCAUCUUGCUUGGGAACUCCGGAUGGUUGGUUGGGAUGUGACUAUGUGGCUACGAAGUUGAAUUUGUGCCGAGUGCAGAUGAUGGUGACACAAUGAUUGUAUCAAAUACUAGGAAGGUCACCCUUACUGAUGAACCAGUCAUCUCUGACGGCUUCAAAACUGGUGAGCCUAGAAAGGUUGUGAUCACCAUUGAUAACCAGAUCUCCAAGUAGAAGAAGCUCCUUUACAGGUCCAAGACCAAAACUCCAUCCGAGUGAGGUUCAAUUAUCAAUGCACUCUUUGUCCUGGGUUAUCAGUUGCUUCACAACGCCAAGACCUGAAUGACUUUAUCAACAAUGUUGUUUUUUAUUCACAUUUGUAUCCCUCAAUGAUUUUUUCCCUCGAUCAUUUAUAUAUGAUCACAUGUAUAAGUGGAUGUUUACUCAUCUGGUUGUUUUGUAUCAAUAAACUCCUCUUUGUACAUAGUUUUAUUGAUCGAGGGAAAGGGCAAAUACUACUAUUAACUAAUGCAGGUAAAGAAUUAUUAUUGAUUUUCUUUUAUGCAAGGAGAUGGCAUCCUUUUCUCUUGGUA